UACGUAGGGUGCGAGCGUUGUUCCGGAAUUAUUGGGCGUAAAGAGCUUGUAGGCGGUUUGUCGCGUCUGCCGUGAAAAUUCGAGGCUCAACCUCGAACUUGCGGUGGGUACGGGCAGACUAGAGUGUGGUAGGGGAGACUGGAAUUCCUGGUGUAGCGGUGAAAUGCGCAGAUAUCAGGAGGAACACCGAUGCGAAGGCAGGUCUCUGGGCCACUACUGACGCUGAGAAGCGAAAGCGUGGGGAGCAAACAGG
rnacentral:rRNA from 1 species